UACGUAGGGUGCAAGCGUUGUCCGGAAUUAUUGGGCGUAAAGAGCUCGUAGGCGGUUUGUCGCGUCUGCCGUGAAAAUCCGGGGCUCAACCCCGGACUUGCGGUGGGUACGGGCAGACUAGAGUGUGGUAGGGGAGACUGGAAUUCCUGGUGUAGCGGUGAAAUGCGCAGAUAUCAGGAGGAACACCGAUGGCGAAGGCAGGUCUCUGGGCCACUACUGACGCUGAGAAGCGAAAGCGUGGGGAGCGAACAGG
rnacentral:rRNA from 1 species